UACGGAGGGUGCAAGCGUUAUCCGGAAUCAUUGGGUUUAAAGGGUCCGCAGGCGGUUCUAUAAGUCAGUGGUGAAAUCUCUCGGCUCAACCGAGAAACUGCCAUUGAUACUGUAGGACUUGAAUUCGGUCGAAGUGGCGGAAUAUGACAUGUAGCGGUGAAAUGCUUAGAUAUGUCAUAGAACACCGAUAGCGAAGGCAGCUCACUAGGCCUGGAUUGACGCUCAGGACGAAAGCGUGGGAGCAAACAGG
rnacentral:rRNA from 1 species